AAACACAAGACCAUGGGACUGUGCAGCUGUUUCAUAGACUUAGCUUAUCUGUACCAUCACAAGGCAAGCUCUGAUAGAACGGUUGCCAAAUAAUGCUGUUUAAACCCCUCAAAUCACACAAUCACGUCCACGACACAUAUAUAAAAUAUCUAACAUAAAUAUUCUGUCCAACAAUUCUGUCAUUUGCUUGCUUAAGAAGGCUCCUUACAGAUGGCGCAGGAUUGAAUUUAUGCAAAUAGCAACAUCACUGCAUGUCUUUGUACCUCUUUAAACCAUAAAGGAGACUUUUGAAGCCUGUCUUAUCAACUCAAAGCUUUGAAACAUGGUUUAUGUAUACAUACAUUAAGUGAACAAAUUGAAAAGACGAAACAUCCCAAGUAGCAGAAUUACAAGCCGAACAUAUUCAACAAACACAGGCACUAUACAGUUUGGUAUUUAAUGAUUAGUUUAAUAUUUUUGACAAGAAUACUACAAGUGUAUUUGUAAUUUUUUUACUUCUAAAUUUGACAUUUGUCACACUGGCAAGCUCUUUCACAAUUUCUUCCACGGCUAAUGAACAAACCGCAUCAUUUCCUGCCAAAUGAGGCUGGAGGCGAGCAAUGCCUUUUCAAAUGUGAUCCAGAGUUACAUGUCAGCAUCUGAGUAAUGUAGGCCUUGCUGUAUUUAUAAUGCACUUCUCCCCUUUUCCCAGUAAUGAGUGGCAUAGAAAGGGCACAGCAUGCCUGCUCUUUUAUUAAAAUAAAUGAAAGAUCCAUUUAUGACACUGAAUAGUCAGAACUUCCUUUUCCUCCUCCAUUUCUGCCUGGCAGUAAUGUAAGAGGAGGAGGGUGUAAAAGCAAAGGUAGAGCCUGUCAUUCAUUAGCCUGAUUUACUAUUCAAGACAAGUCAUGAUUUUACAUUUAAGUGAAAAUGCACGCUACCUUUAGUGACCAGGAAAGCUACAAAAAGCGACUUUUAGGUGUCAAAUUGGUUUAUAUAACAUUUCAUAUAAUUUCUUUUCAACUAUGGGAAGAAUUUAUUAUUUAUAAUUUUAUUUUAUUUAUUUAUUUUUUUUUUUACAUAGAAAGCACAUUCUGAAAUGUGUGUUUUAUUAUCUUCUUUACAGCUUCUUUAAUCAUACUGUUGUAUAGCUUUGUUUAGCUACACAGCUGCAGGACUUUUAUUACACUGACACUGCCGUUAUCUGCCUGCAAUAAAAGCUAUAUAACAGAGCUCAAAACAAACAUUAAUGAAAAUUAACACAUGAAAUAUAAAGAAAAAAAUAUAAAAUAUGAUGACUCAUUUGCCUUGUCUUCUUAAAAUGGAAAAUGGGAAUCAUAUUUUUGACAGUAUUUAAACAUUUAAUUGGACUUGAAGUAGACAUUAUGUGUUUAAGACAUGUAAAAAUAUGCAUAAUGAACACAAUAUGUAUGCGAUCUUAAACACAGCUGGAAUAUUUUGUGAAAGAUCAAAUGAUUUAGUGGUAUGGGGCACAACAAAUCGACAACAUCCUGCAAGUGUGUAUCUUUGAGAAGGGGGCUGUGAUGGCAGCUCGGUGAGAUUUGUGGGGUCCUCUGACAAAUUUGGAGCCGCAGCAGUCUCAGUUAGAGCAGCUGAGAGUUGACACCUCAGGGCCGGACAAUAAAUAAGCAUGUUCAUCGUCUGUGACAGAAAAGCACUGGAUAGUCACAUCCUGGCCUAGUGACAUCCUCCAACCCGAUCUCUGGGAAUGAUUCGUAGCUCUGAGCCGUGCUUCAGGAACACAUUUCCU
ensembl:lncRNA